CCGGCGUGCUUAACACAUGCAAGUCGAACGGAAACAGAUAGAGCUUGCUCUAUGCUGUCGAGUGGCGCACGGGUGAGUAAUGUAUAGCUAACGUGCCCCUUAGAGAGGGAUAACGUCUGGAAACGGACGCUAAUACCUCAUACUCCUUUUAAUCAAAAGAUUAAUUGGGAAAUGUUUUUUCGCUAAGGGAUCGGGCUAUAUGGUAUCAGAGAGUCGGUGAGGUAAGAGCUCACCAAGCCAAUGACGCCUAGCUGGUCUGAGAGGAUGAUCAGCCACACUGGAACUGAGACACGGUCCAGACUCCUACGGGAGGCAGCUGUGGGGAAUAUUGCACAAUGGGGGAAACCCUGAUGCAGCAACGCCGCGUGGAGGAUGACGCAUUUCGGUGCGUAAACUCCUUUUAUAUGGGAAGAUAAUGACGGUACCAUAUGAAUAAGCACCGGCUAACUCCGUGCCAGCAGCCGCGGUAAUACGGAGGGUACAAGCGUUACUCGGAAUCACUGGGCGUAAAGCGCGCGCAGGCGGUUAGUAAAGUCAGAUGUGAAAGCCUACAGCUUAACUGUAGAACUGCAUCUGAAACUCACUAACUAGAGUUUGGGAGAGGUAAGUGGAAUUAGUGGUGUAGGGGUAAAAUCCGCAGAGAUCACUAGGAAUACCAAAAGCGAAGGCAACUUACUGGAACAACACUGACGCUGAGGCGCGAAAGCGUGGGGAGCAAACAGGAUUAGAUACCCUGUAGUCCACGCCCUAAACGAUGAAUGUUAGUCGUCGGAGGCCUAGUGUCUUCGGUGAUGCAGCUAACGCAUUAAACAUUCCGCCUGGGGAGUACGGUCGCAAGAUUAAAACUCAAAGGAACAGACGGGGACCCGCACAAGUGGUGGAGCAUGUGGUUUAAUUCGAAGAUACGCGAAGAACCUUACCUGGCCUUGACAUCCCAAGAACCCUGUAGAGAUACGGGGGUGCCCUUCGGGGAACUUGGUGACAGGUGCUGCACGGCUGUCGUCAGCUCGUGUCGUGAGAUGUUGGGUUAAGUCCCGCAACGAGCGCAACCCUCGUGUUUAGUUGCUAACAGUUCGGCUGAGCACUCUAGACAGACUGCCUCCGCAAGGAGGAGGAAGGUGAGGACGACGUCAAGUCAUCAUGGUCCUUACGGCCAGGGCGACACACGUGCUACAAUGGGUAGGACAAUGAGACGCAAUACCGCGAGGUGGAGCAAAUCUAUAAACCUACUCUCAGUUCGGAUUGUAGUCUGCAACUCGACUACAUGAAGCUGGAAUCACUAGUAAUCGUAGAUCAGCCAUGCUACGGUGAAUACGUUCCCGGGUCUUGUACUCACCGCCCGUCACACCAUGGGAGUUGAGUUCACCCGAAGCGGGGAAGCUAAACUGGCUACCUGNCCAUCGGUGGGCUCAGCGAA
rnacentral:rRNA from 1 species